rnacentral:rRNA from 1 species
UACGUAGGUGGCAAGCGUUGUCCGGAUUUACUGGGCGUAAAGAGCGCGCAGGCGGUUAUUCAAGUCGAAUGUGAAAGCCCCCGGCUUAACUGGGGAGGGUCAUUCGAUACUGUUUAACUUGAAGGCAGGAGAGGGUAGUGGAAUUCCCGGUGUAGUGGUGGAAUGCGUAGAUAUCGGGAGGAACACCAGUGGCGAAGGCGGUUGCCUGGAGCUUUGCUGACGCUGAUGCGCGAAAGCGUGGGGAGCGAUCCGG